ensembl:lncRNA
UUUUUUUUUUUUUUUUUUUUAUGUUUCUCUCAGUCAGCCUGCCAAACUGUGUCAGUUUAGGUGAGAAAGAUCAUAGAAAGGUAACACAAGCUUGACUUUACAAGACUUGAAAAAUUUGUAAAGAAACAUGGGGCCAUGGGAAUUGCUGCCUUGGAGCAGGAACUAAUCUAAUCCUUACAUCCCCCAAACUGGAAAAUUCUGUAAAUAUCUAAAGCUGUUCAUUUUCGUUUUUACUACUUCUGAUUGAAGGUACUAAUAGUUCGUGAUGUUGCAUUGUUUUAGAGUGCAGAACGUCUGCUAAGGGAGAUACACAGUGCUUAGCCUGGUUUUAUUCCAACAAGCAUCCAGGAUGUUAGCUUGGAUCUUGGGACACUUAGGGGUUACCCACCAAUGGAGUUCCUGCGUGAAGGAAAGAUGUGUCCAGCCACCAGAAAUAUUGGGGACAAAAAGGGACUUCUCUGAGUUCUUGAGAAACAACAUGGGAGGGACCAGGUGGAGAGGAAGUUGUUGAAGAAAAACACCUGAGCAGUGCUCAGAGCAGCUUCUCUGAGGAGCUGUGUGAAGACACCUGGAACAGCAGGGGGGACACAGACCUGCAUGAACAUAUGGAAUUUCUGAGGUUCUUGAGAGAUGUAUUUCCCUUGUUCCUGCUUCACUUUUGUUGGGUGAUGGGUUUGAAAUGGGGCACACUGGUAGAACUGGGUGAAUUUCAGAGGGUUGGGAUGUUGGUUUCUGAAACUGGCAUUUGGGACAUGAAAAUAUUUAACAGCAACCAAAUCCUUCAUUUGAAAGCAUUUCAAUUACAGAAUUAUGUGCUGAUAUCUGCAGGGGAAUUGACAGCAUUAGCAGUCUUCCUUUUGAAAGUGCAAUUUCAAAGUUCAUGUUGAAAAUUUAUUUUUUUAAUCCCCCUUGAAAUAAAAGCUUAGUCUAAAUUACCCAUUACAAACCCCCUGUUUUUCAGACACUGCUGUUAUCUAAAUUAGGGACAAAUUGUUCUUAGCUUACCUUCCAGCCUUGAGACCCUGAAUUUAAAUCUCAUUAUAUUGCAUCCGUUUAUGGGAUUAAAUUAAUUUUCUCAUUUAAAAGAGAAAGAGAUCCCAGGGAUUUGUUCUGUGCUGCUUUGUAAAGAAACUCCACUGUCAUGGUAGACUGUGGUUUGGGUUGUCAGACAUGAUGCAGAGCACCUGUAUGCACCUGGUUUGCAUACACUACCAGUCUUGUAAAAAUUUAGUGUGUCAGCACAUUUGGGCUUCUUUUCUUGGGUUUAUCUCAGUGUUUCAUUUUCUCCCUGUUUGUCUCUUUUUAUUUUCCAUUCUUUUGCAUUACAACAAAACCAAGGUAUUUUGCCUUUUCUUAUUCUCCUUAUUCCACAGUUAGCACAUCUUGGCUUUUCUUCCUCCUGUUCUGUACAUGAAUGUUUUCCUCUAUGAUAUUUGUUUUCCCCAAUUUUUCCAGCCAAAUUUCCUUUCCUCUCUGAUGUAUUUUACACUCUUCUUUAUCUACCUGUCUUUAUCUGUCUUUCCUUUAUUUCCAUCACUUUUCCCAAUAUCCAUGCUUUUUGAUCUCCUUCAAUUCCCCACAUUUUGUCAACCUCCCCAUCUCCUCAUAAUUUCCUGUGGCUCCCUCACCAUGCCCUCCAUCACUGUUUGUUCUGACUCCUUCGUGCCACCUCCCCUUUGCACCUUCCCCUGAGCAUCUCUUGCAGAUGCAAUUGGUGGCUUUGGAAAUGGGUUGAGACAAAAAGAGUCCCCACAAGGAUCUGGGUACAUGUGAGGUCUGUUUGAUUCACACCAGGGCGAGUGUGCACCCAUCAUCUGCAAAGCCCUUUGAAUAGUCUGUGGAUUGUUAUAGAUUGUGUGUUUUAAUGGCCUUGUACCAACUUGUAAAAGGAUUUGAUGUCUUUCAUGGGUAUAUGAGAUCUGACUUCUAUCAGCAACAUCUCUUUGAUUUUUGGGGUCAUGUUCCUGGGACAGAAAGAAGCUGAGCCUGACAGAAUGCAGCUUGAUUUGCUGCAUCUGCACAGUGCAAGAAUCUAUUAUUAGUAAUUUUUUUAACUUUAAUCUCUGUUGCAAAUGUUUUUUAUUAGGAAAACAUUGCUAUUCUGAAAACUUCCUAUCUUGGCUUAAAAGGUGGGGGGUUUUUUCUAAUAUAUUAAUAAGAAAGUUAAAUUAAAAUGCUGUUGUUUACAAGUCUGCCACAGGUUUCAGUAGGAAGAAGGUUCUCUGCUUCUGUGCCAGUAUCAGCAGGUGAUAUUUACUGGAAUGACCAUUUGAAAGGACAGUUAGAGAUUUCAUAUGAUUGUGCUGCUCACCCCUAAGAGGAAAAAGAAAGUCUUUGGGCAGUCAAACAGUACAAGGAUGUGAAAUGCUGGCAGAGCAAAGUAAAAAUUCAGCAUUUUCAUGCUUUGAUAUUUGGUUUGGUUUGUUUUUUUUAAAUCCAGGCUGAAAUCUUCUCCUGGAAGAACAAGCUCUCAAACCUCUGUACUUAGUAAUAACUUUCUUUCAUCCUCUAAUAUUAAAUGACAGCAGCAAUAAUGUGCAAUAUCAGGUUACGAAGCAUCUUGUCCUGGUCAUCCAAUGAGUCUGAUGUGAUGUAAAUAAACCCAGCAUUAACUCAGAUGUGAAAUUCACUGCAGUUGAGAUUAGCAAAGCCAAAGAACAAAAGUUCUAGUUGAUUAGAACUAGAUGAAAUUCAUAUCCAGAUUGGUGUAAACUCUGGGUAAUUGGCUUGAAAUAUUAACCAAAGAAGGGAUGGAUAAUUAGGUUCAGCACCUCCAAAGAUCUCCUGUGUUUCUUGAGACAAUUGAUCAUUUGUGCUUUGAAGCUGCUUCCCAUUUUCUCAAUCAGCCCCAUUUGAGAAGAGCUAUUCAUCUGAUAACUUACUUGUCAAAACUUGCUAGGCAAGGCAGGACAGAAGCAUCAAGACCUGUGGGUAAUUUAAGAGAUGAAUUUGUGCUGGUGGUUUUCAAGAAUCCCAACCACUGUAAUGGAGAUCAAACACAUCUCUGAAACUGUUCAGUCUAAGCCAGGAAUCACAGAAGAAAAUAAGCAGGCCAGGAAUUAUUAUCUCAUUUUAUAUAAGGUUUCUAGAGGAAGAUAAAACCUAAAGAUGCACACAUAAAACACUGUGCUCCAGACCCAGGCACAAUGCAAGUCCUCUACUUAAAAUACUUGUGUACAGAGCCAUAGAACAGAAUCUCAGAAUGUCCUGAGCUGGGAGGGACCCACAGGAUGUCCCAGCCCGGCCCCAUCCCUGCACAGACCCCCCAACAGCCCCACCCUGGGCACCCCUGGCAGCGCUGUCCCAACGCUCCUGGAGCUCUGGCAGCCUCGGGGCCGUGCCCAUCCCCUGGGGAGCCUGGGCAGUGCCAGCCCCUCUGGGGAAGAGCCUUUCCCUGACCUCCAGCCUGAGCCUCCCCUGACACAGCUCCAGCCAUUCCCUCAGUCCUGUCCCUGUCACAGAGAGCAGAGAUCAGAGCUGCCCCUCUGCUGCCCCUCAUGAGGGUGUUGAAAACCCCAGUGAGGUCUCCCCUCAGGCUCUUCUCCAACUAAACAGACCAAACCCCCUCAGCCUCUUGUCAUAUAGCUCCUCCAGACCCUUCCCCAUCCUUGUGGCCUCCUCUGGAUGUUCUCUAAGGGCUUAAUGUAUUUUUUUAUAUUGUGGUGCACAAACUGACCCCAGGACUGGAGGUAAGGCCUCUGCAGAGCAGCACAUGACAAUCCUCUCUUUCCCUGGCUGGAGAUGCUGGGCCUGAUGCCCUCUAGGACAGGGAUGUCUCUCCUGGCUGUCAGGGCACUGCUGACUAACAUCUGACUUGCCAUCGACCAGGAGCUCUUCCUGCAGCUGCUUCCCAGGAUCCCAUUCCCAGUCUGCCCACACACCCAGGUUUACCCCAUGCCAGGUGCAGAACCUGGCACCUCCCCUUGCUGAGCUCCUUGCGCUCACUGAUGGCCCAGUUCUUUCAUUUGUUGAGCUCUCCCUGCAGGGCCUCCCAGUUCUUUAAGGGAGUCAACAGCUCCUUCCAGUUCUGCAUCAUCUGUGAACUUGCUCAGUUUCCCUUCCAGUCCUGCAGCCAGGUCAGGUAUGAAGAGCACAGGGAUCAAGACUGAGCCCUCUGGAACCUCACUAAUGACCUGUGCCAGUCUGAUGUCACCCCAGUCACUGUCACCUUUGUGCCCAACCCAUGAGCCAGUUGCUCACCCCUCCCAUGAUGUGUUUGUCCAGUGUUGGGAUGGAUGUUUUGCCCGGAAGAAUCCUGUGAAAGAUGGUAUGGAAAGCUUUGCUGAAGUCCAAAAGAAUUACAUCUACUGGCUUUCCUAGAUCGACCAGGUGUUGUUCCAUACUUCCAUAGAAGCUGGACAAGCAGGACUGUCCCCUCAUGAAGCCAAGUUGGCUGUGACCAGUGGCUGCAUUGUCCUCCAGCUGUUUUUCAAUACUUCCCAGAAUAACCUUUUUCCAUGGGCAUUCAAGGGACACUGACAGGCCCGUAGUUUCCAGGGUCCACCUUCUUGCCCUUCUUGAAAAUCAGGACAACAUCUGCCUACUUCCACUUGGCUGGGACCUCUCUGGAUUCCCAAAAUCACUCAAAAAUAAUUGAGAGGGGCUUUAUGAUGACAUUAACACCUCUUUGAAGAUUUUGGACAAAUUCCAUCAGGGCCCAUUGAUUUUUAGGGAUCGGUCUGGGGUAACACAUCACACACAAUUUCAGCUGGGAUUUGAUCAAUCUCACAAUCAUGGUCCUCCAUCAGAGGACCCUGAGACCCCCCCUGGUCCAUCAUCCAUUCUUUGCCUCCAUCUUCAAAAAGAAUGACUGACCUAGGGGUCCCAGUGCCCUGAGAAUCAAAUGAAGUCAGUGCCAUGUCAAAUGAGACGUUCCUUAGAGACUUGGGAAGGCAAAUGUGAAAGAACUGCCAAACAGCAAAAGCAUUUCAGUAGAAGGAAGAUCAGAAUAGAAACGUGCAGAUUUUACACCUAAUAUUUUGAAAAGAGAGCAAAUUAUCACUGUCAAGCAAAUCCUUAUCCAUAUGUGUGAAAAUGGGUAACAGCAAUCAAAAAUAAAGAAUGAAGUAUCUGAAGCAUCAUGACAAGAUGAGGUUUGAACAAUACAAUGAGUCAUGAGAACUCCUUUGCAGAAGGGUUAUCAACACUCAGUGAGGUCUCCCAUUCUCUUACAGCUGAGCUCCUGAUCCCUCCUGAAAGCAGCCAACUUGGUUAAACAGGUUAUAUCUGGCUCAAGAGGUCUGGUGUCCAAUGGUUGCUCUGAUAGUCUGUGAAAUCAAAGGAUACUCUUUCACUAGAAGCAGUCAAAAGGACUGAAAUCCACAUAGCUACAGGUUGGUACUGGAUUUACUGCUGGGUUUAGGCAACAUAAAAACCCCCAACCUCCCACUCCCUGUGGAUAGGUUUAGCAGCUGGUCUGCAGGCUAAACAACUGAAUUGGCAGAAGACGAAAUUGAUAAAAUGCAAGUUUAUCCAUAGCAAAGAAGAAAGCAAGGCCAUUAGCAUGGAAACCAAUAAAAUAGACACAUAAGGGAUAUUUGAGUUAGAGGAUACGUGCCGGAGUGAGCUGCAUACGUCCCUAAAUAAUUUGUUGUAAACUCUUACCAAUUAAUUAUUGACGUUAAUUACUUUGUACCAAUAAAGUACAAUGAGCUAUUGCUUUGUCCAAUUAAUAUAAUGAGCUGUUUUGAUGUAACUAAUGACUGAAGAUCUCACUUUGUUAAGGGUAUAAAACUUAAGAACAACUUGUAACAAAGAGAAGCCACUGUUGUCUCUGCACGUGUGUGUGUGUCCAUCUCAGCAGCGACAACUCCCUGUUAAUAUUCUCUGGUUACUCUUUUCCCAUCUUCUCUCAUUCCUUUCCUUUGCUUGGAAAUUCAUAACGUGAGUUGUCUUUCAGUCUCAUUAUGAUCUAAAAUAUUUCUGCUAGAUUUGGCUUAAUUUCUUUACCCUGUCACCCUCAUUUUUAGAGCUUCAUGGUCAAUAUAAGAUUUUGCUUUGCAAUUGUUCUGGUUUGAAAGCAAAACCAGUGAGAGACUCCAAGUCAGAAAUACAAUUUAUUGGGAAAAGGGAAAUGAAACAAAAUACAUGCAAUAAUACAAAAGGAAGACCAUUGACAAAGUCAGAAUACAACCUGACACCCCUUUGGCCAGCGUGUUGGUAGCAGUCCAAACUGGAGUGGCUGCAGUCCUCCUGGAGUGGCAGAUGUGGUUUCUGUUUUUGCAGUGGUCCUGUGGAAAAGGUUUAGUCUGUCAAGUGGAAAACCCCAGCUGUGUCCUCUUGGAAACCUGUGGGAAGGCUGCCUGCUCUGUCCAAAAUCCCAGAAUAUAUCUAGGUGGCGAUGCUUGCUCCUCCCCCUGGGCAGAGCAUCUCACCAUGGGCAGAUGUCAUUCUGAGUCACUUGGUGGGUCCUUGAUCACCCGUUAAAUAGCAAAUGGCUCCUGGAGGGAGUUGUCUGAGUCAUGUGGGAGACAUUGAUGGGCCAUUAACAGGAGAUAAGGAAAACUGCCCAGAGGCAACUGCUACACUGAUGGUAAUAGAAAACAUCCUGCUUCUCAAUCUCGGACAGAUUUCAAUCCCUGAGAAAAGAAAUGGAAUGUAUUGAUGAUGAAAAUAUUGAAAAUGUCAGAGCUCUAGGACUGGAACAAUUAUAGGCAAAGCAUUUAUUGAAAAACUUCAUCCAUCAUGCCUUUCAUUAUGCAAUUUAAUAAUGGUAACCACCCGUGAACAGUUAAUUCUAACCUUCUUUCACUUUCAUACUUAAUCAAGAAGAGUUUUAGCCGAAGACUGAAUGUUUCAAAUUUGUGUGAUAAACUUGUCUGACUUGAUCCUGCUUUCAUGAAAAGAAAGAAAAAGAAAAAGAAAAAGAAAAAGAAAAAGAAAAAGAAAAAGAAAAA